rnacentral:rRNA from 1 species
GGGUUGUGAGGUUAAGCGACUAAGCGUACACGGUGGAUGCCCUGGCAGUCAGAGGCGAUGAAGGACGUGCUAAUCUGCGAUAAGCGUCGGUGAGGUGAUAUGAACCGUUAUAACCGGCGAUUUCCGAAUGGGGAAACCCAGUGUGAUUCGUCACACUAUCAUUAACUGAAUCCAUAGGUUAAUGAGGCGAACCGGGGGAACUGAAACAUCUAAGUACCCCGAGGAAAAGAAAUCAACCGAGAUUCCCCCAGUAGCGGCGAGCGAACGGGGAGCAGCCCAGAGCCUGAAUCAGUGUGUGUGUUAGUGGAAGCGUCUGGAAAGGCGUGCGAUACAGGGUGACAGCCCCGUACACAAAAAUGCACAUACUGUGAGCUCGAUGAGUAGGGCGGGACACGUGGUAUCCUGUCUGAAUAUGGGGGGACCAUCCUCCAAGGCUAAAUACUCCUGACUGACCGAUAGUGAACCAGUACCGUGAGGGAAAGGCGAAAAGAACCCCGGCGAGGGGAGUGAAAAAGAACCUGAAACCGUGUACGUACAAGCAGUGGGAGCCUCUUAAUGGGGUGACUGCGUACCUUUUGUAUAAUGGGUCAGCGACUUAUAUUCUGUAGCAAGGUUAACCGAAUAGGGGAGCCGAAGGGAAACCGAGUCUUAACUGGGCGUUAAGUUGCAGGGUAUAGACCCGAAACCCGGUGAUCUAGCCAUGGGCAGGUUGAAGGUUGGGUAACACUAACUGGAGGACCGAACCGACUAAUGUUGAAAAAUUAGCGGAUGACUUGUGGCUGGGGGUGAAAGGCCAAUCAAACCGGGAGAUAGCUGGUUCUCCCCGAAAGCUAUUUAGGUAGCGCCUCGUGAAUUCAUCUCCGGGGGUAGAGCACUGUUUCGGCAAGGGGGUCAUCCCGACUUACCAACCCGAUGCAAACUGCGAAUACCGGAGAAUGUUAUCACGGGAGACACACGGCGGGUGCUAACGUCCGUCGUGAAGAGGGAAACAACCCAGACCGCCAGCUAAGGUCCCAAAGUCAUGGUUAAGUGGGAAACGAUGUGGGAAGGCCCAGACAGCCAGGAUGUUGGCUUAGAAGCAGCCAUCAUUUAAAGAAAGCGUAAUAGCUCACUGGUCGAGUCGGCCUGCGCGGAAGAUGUAACGGGGCUAAACCAUGCACCGAAGCUGCGGCAGCGACACUAUGUGUUGUUGGGUAGGGGAGCGUUCUGUAAGCCUGUGAAGGUGUACUGUGAGGUAUGCUGGAGGUAUCAGAAGUGCGAAUGCUGACAUAAGUAACGAUAAAGCGGGUGAAAAGCCCGCUCGCCGGAAGACCAAGGGUUCCUGUCCAACGUUAAUCGGGGCAGGGUGAGUCGACCCCUAAGGCGAGGCCGAAAGGCGUAGUCGAUGGGAAACAGGUUAAUAUUCCUGUACUUGGUGUUACUGCGAAGGGGGGACGGAGAAGGCUAUGUUGGCCGGGCGACGGUUGUCCCGGUUUAAGCGUGUAGGCUGGUUUUCCAGGCAAAUCCGGAAAAUCAAGGCUGAGGCGUGAUGACGAGGCACUACGGUGCUGAAGCAACAAAUGCCCUGCUUCCAGGAAAAGCCUCUAAGCAUCAGGUAACAUCAAAUCGUACCCCAAACCGACACAGGUGGUCAGGUAGAGAAUACCAAGGCGCUUGAGAGAACUCGGGUGAAGGAACUAGGCAAAAUGGUGCCGUAACUUCGGGAGAAGGCACGCUGAUAUGUAGGUGAAGUCCCUCGCGGAUGGAGCUGAAAUCAGUCGAAGAUACCAGCUGGCUGCAACUGUUUAUUAAAAACACAGCACUGUGCAAACACGAAAGUGGACGUAUACGGUGUGACGCCUGCCCGGUGCCGGAAGGUUAAUUGAUGGGGUUAGCGGUAACGCGAAGCUCUUGAUCGAAGCCCCGGUAAACGGCGGCCGUAACUAUAACGGUCCUAAGGUAGCGAAAUUCCUUGUCGGGUAAGUUCCGACCUGCACGAAUGGCGUAAUGAUGGCCAGGCUGUCUCCACCCGAGACUCAGUGAAAUUGAACUCGCUGUGAAGAUGCAGUGUACCCGCGGCAAGACGGAAAGACCCCGUGAACCUUUACUAUAGCUUGACACUGAACAUUGAGCCUUGAUGUGUAGGAUAGGUGGGAGGCUUUGAAGUGUGGACGCCAGUCUGCAUGGAGCCGGCCUUGAAAUACCACCCUUUAAUGUUUGAUGUUCUAACGUUGGCCCCUGACCGGGGUUGCGGACAGUGUCUGGUGGGUAGUUUGACUGGGGCGGUCUCCUCCUAAAGAGUAACGGAGGAGCACGAAGGUUGGCUAAUCCUGGUCGGACAUCAGGAGGUUAGUGCAAUGGCAUAAGCCAGCUUGACUGCGAGCGUGACGGCGCGAGCAGGUGCGAAAGCAGGUCAUAGUGAUCCGGUGGUUCUGAAUGGAAGGGCCAUCGCUCAACGGAUAAAAGGUACUCCGGGGAUAACAGGCUGAUACCGCCCAAGAGUUCAUAUCGACGGCGGUGUUUGGCACCUCGAUGUCGGCUCAUCACAUCCUGGGGCUGAAGUAGGUCCCAAGGGUAUGGCUGUUCGCCAUUUAAAGUGGUACGCGAGCUGGGUUUAGAACGUCGUGAGACAGUUCGGUCCCUAUCUGCCGUGGGCGCUGGAGAACUGAGGGGGGCUGCUCCUAGUACGAGAGGACCGGAGUGGACGCAUCACUGGUGUUCGGGUUGUCAUGCCAAUGGCACUGCCCGGUAGCUAAAUGCGGAAGAGAUAAGUGCUGAAAGCAUCUAAGCACGAAACUUGCCCCGAGAUGAGUUCUCCCUGACUCCUUGAGAGUCCUGAAGGAACGUUGAAGACGACGACGUUGAUAGGCCGGGUGUGUAAGCGCAGCGAUGCGUUGAGCUAACCGGUACUAAUGAACCGUGAGGCUUAACCUUACAACGCCGAAG